UACGUAGGGUGCGAGCGUUAAUCGGAAUUACUGGGCGUAAAGCGUGCGCAGGCGGUUUUGUAAGACAGAUGUGAAAUCCCCGGGCUUAACCUGGGAACUGCGUUUGAGACUGCGAGACUAGAGUAAGGCAGAGGGGGGUGGAAUUCCGCGUGUAGCAGUGAAAUGCGUAGAUAUGCGGAGGAACACCGAUGGCGAAGGCAGCCCCCUGGGCUAUUACUGACGCUCAUGCACGAAAGCGUGGGGAGCAAACAGG
rnacentral:rRNA from 1 species